ensembl:lncRNA
AUGUUGGGACUGUCCUCUACCAGUGUGCCAAAUUAUACAACUUUCCCGCAAUCGGUUCUAUGGGCUGCCAUAGACUUGCGGCGGAAGAAGAAGAAGAAGAAGAAGAAGAAGAAGAAGAAGAAGAAGAAGAAGAAGAAAUAUAGCUGCAAGCAGCAAUUACGGGGCCAAGCACUCCAGAGGCAAAUUGAGGAGCUAAGCAUGGCAUGGAGCAUCAGACCAAAUGCAGAAAUGAGUAAUUGAAGCCAUUUUAGGAUGAUUGUAAUUGAAAUGGUGGAAAAAUCAUAAAUACAAGCACUAGUACUAUGAUUAAAUGGCUUAUCACUUUUGACCAAUAGGUGGCGCUGUAAUCAAAUCAUUUUGGUGUGUUCUGUGUGAGGUGACAAUGGCACACACAAAGUUUGGUGUCAGUAUGCCAAAGUAUUGCAGAGAUACAGGCUGAAGUGUCAUUUUGGCAUCAUGCCUGAAAUUCGUCGCUGUGGUAUGCGAAAACAGUUUUGUCUAUCGAUACAAAAUCCAUAACAUUUUGUCAGCACAGUCUGAAGAUAAUGUGAUUCAAUUUUGGUAAAAAUCGGUUGAUGAGGAGUUCGAAAAAGUAAGUUUUCAACAUAAAUCAAAAUGGCGGACAGGAAGUUCAGCGUACUCUGGCAUAUUUGGUAUCUAUGUUGUCAGCAUAAGCCAAGGAAUAUUUUGAGACAAGUUUCAUUGCAAUAGGCUGAUGCAAUAAAAAGUUAUAAGCAUUUUUAUAAAUUUAAUUAUUAAUGUUUAAUGAAUGGUUUAUUAUUCUUGACCAAUAGGUGGCGCUGUUACCAAAUUAAUGUGGCGUGGUCAGUGUGAGGUGACAAUGGCACAUACAAAGUUUGGUGCAAAUAUGUCAAAGCUUUGCCGAGAUACAGCCUCAGAUGUAUUUUGGCAUCUUACGAACAAAUUCGUUGAUGCGCUAAACGAAAACCGUUUCGUAUAUCAACACGAAUUCCAUAACUUUUUAUCAGGUUGGUCAGAAGAUGAUCCGAUCCAAAUUUGGUGAAAAUCGGACUAACGGUCUAGGAGGAGUUCGAAAAAGUAGGUUUUCAACUUUAAACAAAAUGGCGGACAGGAAGUAUGGCCAAUUUUGGCAUAAUUGGUAUCGAUGUUCUCGGAAUGACCAAAAGAAUAUAUGGAGACCAUUUUCAUUUCAAUAGUCAAAUUUAUUCAAAAGUUAUUAGCAUUUUUAUGAUAUUUCAUUAUAACUUUUGACCACAAGGUGGCGCUGCACCCAAACUUUUUGAGUACCUUCAGGGCAUGGAGCCAAACAUUUUUGUAAUUAUUUUCGUAGUGAUACGAUGAUGCGUUCAAAAAAUACAGCAUUUUGAAACAUAAUUCAAAAUGGCCGACACCUAAAAUGGCCGACACGGGAAAAUUGGAUAUCAUUCGACUUGACAUGACCCACCAAAUUCUAAUGAGACCAGUUUUGUGAUUUUUGGCCAAACCAUUCAGAAGUUAUAAGCAAAAAUAUGCAUUUUUCAUAUCUCCUGACCACUAGGUGGCGCUGCGUCGAAACACUGCAGGUAGUCUCAGGUCAUGCUUGUUAUAACACUCACCAAGUUUGGUCUCAAUACACCAAACCGUUGCGGAGUUAUAGGCUCACAAGCAUUUUUGAGUGCUUUUCGUAGAAUUUGUUUACGAGUUAUUCGAGAACGGUUGGACGAAUCAACUUGAAUUCCAUAACUUUUUGCCGGCAUCGUCUGAAGAUGAUCUGAGCCAAUUUUCGUGAAAAUCGGACUAACCGUCUAGGAAGAGUUUGUAAAAGUAGGUUUUUCGAACAAUUGAAAAUAGCGAAAAAACUUAACCCUGCGAUUCUUGAAUUUCGGGGUUCAAUCGACUUGUCCUGAGCAAAGGAUUCAGAGGAAAAAAGAAUUUUCAUUUUGUGGCCUACGGUUCAAAAGUUAUUAGCAUAAAAAUAUUGAAAUUUUGGACAAGAGGUGGCGCUAGAGAGUUGGAGUUAGAGACUUCAAAUUUGCUAUAGUUAAUGCUGGGACUGUCCUCUAUCAGUGUGCCAAAUUAUACAACUUUCCCGCAAUCGGUUCUAUGGGCUGCCAUAGACUUGCGGCGGAAGAAGAAGAAGAAGAAGAAGAAGAGGAAGAAGAAGAAGAAGAAGAAGAAGAAGAAGAAAGAAGAAGAAUGACGCCAACGGAUACAAUAGGUGCCUACGCACCUUCGGUGCUUGGCCCCUAAUAAUAACGCCAACGGUUUCAAUAGGUGCCUACGCACCUUCGGUGCUUGGCCCCUAAUAAUAACGCCAACGAUUUCAAUAUGUGCCUACGCACCUUCGGUGCUUGGCCCCUAAAUAUAGCUGCAAGCAGCAAUUACAGGGCCAAGCACUCCAGCGGCAUAUUGAGGAGCUAAGCAUGGCGCGGAGCAACAAUGAGCGAUUACAGCAAUUUUAGGAUGAUUGUAAUUGAAAUUUAUUAUUAAAAGUAUUAUGAUUAAAUGGUUUAUCACUUUUGACCAACAGUUGGCGCUGUGAUCAAAUCAUUUUGGUGUGUUCUGUGUGAGGUGAGAAUGGCACACACAAAGUUUGGUGUCAGUAUGCUAAAGCAUAGCAGAGAUACAGCCUCAAGUGUGAUUUUGGCAUCAUG